UAAGUAAGACAGGUGUAGCUGUGAAAGUAAGACGGGUUUAGCUGUGAUGUCAGAAAGACAGGUGUAGCUGUGACAGAUAGACAGGUGUAGCUGCGACGUCAGUCAGACAGGUGUAGCGGCGACGUGUAAGUGAGACAGGUGAAGCUGCGACGUCAGUCAAACAGGUGUAGCUGUGAGAGAAAGACAGGACACCGCAGCCCGGCCAGCUCCAUGUUUAUUGAACGGUUGAAGUACAGCUGUUCUCUCUUCCUUCCAAGACUACAAGCAAAUCAUAUCUUUACAGAAGUGAUAUAUUGUACAAAAAUAACAUCUUGA